AAUUUUUGUACGAAAUUACCAAUUUGCUCAUUUUUGAGGUUAUUUCAGGAUUGAAGAUUAAUCUCAUGAAGAGUGGACUGACAGAUAUUGACAUCAAGAAUCAGCUUCUGAGGGAACUAGCUGAUUUUGUGGGAUGCCAAGUUCUGGAGUGACCUUUUAUAUAUCAUGGUGUUCCUUUUUUUUAAAAUCAUAAUCAUAGAGUUGUCACAACCUCAAUUACAAGGUUGUUAGCAACUCAAUUUAUCAUGGUGUUUCUUUAGAGGGGAAUCCUAGGGUCAGCUCGUUUUGGGACCCUAUUCUGUGCAAGAUCUCUACAUGCCUGGAGACCUUGAAGGGCGCCUUUUUUUCCCCCUUGGGGGAUGCUUAUUCUC
rnacentral:lncRNA from 1 species